CCACCUCCUCUGGACUCUCACAGAAGAGAAAAACACCCUUGUAGCUUGUUUACUGCCUUCCAGGACUUCUGUUCCAGCACCUUCACCUAUACCCCGACUAGUACGCUCUUCAACCUUUGCAGUCACUUUGCACAACAGGGACCUCGAUGCCUGAACUUUCAUCAGGGCCAACUCAUGCACCAGGGACAGGAGGGACAGUCGGGUCUGGCACUGAUCACUCACCAAUCGUGGAGACAGCAGUGAAGAAACAGUCCUAGGAGAGCCCCAAGAGCCUGCGGAGAAGGGACCCAGCCACUCUCUGGACUGCGGAAUGUGUCGUCAC